ACUCCUACGGGAGGCAGCAGUGGGGAAUCUUGGACAAUGGGGGCAACCCUGAUCCAGCCAUGCCGCGUGAGUGAUGAAGGCCUUAGGGUCGUAAAGCUCUUUCGCCUGUGAAGAUAAUGACGGUAGCAGGUAAAGAAACCCCGGCUAACUCCGUGCCAGCAGCCGCGGUAAUACGGGAGGGGGUUAGCGUUGUUCGGAAUUACUGGGCGUAAAGCGCACGUAGGCGGAUCGGAAAGUUGGGGUGAAAUCCCGGGGCUCAACCCCGGAACUGCCUCCAAAACUAUCGGUCUAGAGUUCGAGAGAGGUGAGUGGAAUUCCGAGUGUAGAGGUGAAAUUCGUAGAUAUUCGGAGGAACACCAGUGGCGAAGGCGGCUCACUGGCUCGAUACUGACGCUGAGGUGCGAAAGUGUGGGAGCAAACAGGAUUAGAUACCCGUGGUAGACUGUCA
rnacentral:rRNA from 1 species